rnacentral:rRNA from 1 species
AGAGUUUGAUCCUGGCUCAGAUUGAACGCUGGCGGCAUGCCUUACACAUGCAAGUCGAACGGCAGCACGAGAGCUUGCUCUUGGUGGCGAGUGGCGAACGGGUGAGUAAUAUAUCGGAACGUACCCUAGAGUGGGGGAUAACGUAGCGAAAGUUACGCUAAUACCGCAUACGAUCUACGGAUGAAAGUGGGGGAUCGCAAGACCUCAUGCUCAUGGAGCGGCCGAUAUCUGAUUAGCUAGUUGGUGGGGUAAAAGCUCACCAAGGCGACGAUCAGUAGCUGGUCUGAGAGGACGACCAGCCACACUGGAACUGAGACACGGUCCAGACUCCUACGGGAGGCAGCAGUGGGGAAUUUUGGACAAUGGGCGCAAGCCUGAUCCAGCAAUGCCGCGUGAGUGAAGAAGGCCUUCGGGUUGUAAAGCUCUUUUGUCAGGGAAGAAACGGUGGACUCUAAUACAGAUCACUAAUGACGGUACCUGAAGAAUAAGCACCGGCUAACUACGUGCCAGCACCCGCGGUAAUACGUAGGGUGCAAGCGUUAAUCGGAAUUACUGGGCGUAAAGCGUGCGCAGGCGGUUGUGCAAGACAGAUGUGAAAUCCCCGGGCUCAACCUGGGAAUUGCAUUUGUGACUGCACGGCUAGAGUGUGUCAGAGGGGGGUAGAAUUCCACGUGUAGCAGUGAAAUGCGUAGAGAUGUGGAGGAAUACCUAUGGCGAAGGCAGCCCCCUGGGAUAACACUGACGCUCAUGCACGAAAGCGUGGGGAGCAAACAGGAUUAGAUACCCUGGUAGUCCACGCCCUAAACGAUGUCUACUAGUUGUCGGGUCUUAAUUGACUUGGUAACGCAGCUAACGCGUGAAGUAGACCGCCUGGGGAGUACGGUCGCAAGAUUAAAACUCAAAGGAAUUGACGGGGACCCGCACAAGCGGUGGAUGAUGUGGAUUAAUUCGAUGCAACGCGAAAAACCUUACCUACCCUUGACAUGUCUGGAAUCCUUGAGAGAUCAGGGAGUGCUCGAAAGAGAAUCAGAACACAGGUGCUGCAUGGCUGUCGUCAGCUCGUGUCGUGAGAUGUUGGGUUAAGUCCCGCAACGAGCGCAACCCUUGUCAUUAGUUGCUACGAAAGGGCACUCUAAUGAGACUGCCGGUGACGAACCGGAGGAAGGUGGGGAUGACGUCAAGUCCUCAUGGCCCUUAUGGGUAGGGCUUCACACGUCAUGCAAUGGUACAUACAGAGGGCCGCCAACCCGCGAGGGGGAGCUAAUCCCAGAAAGUGUAUCGUAGUCCGGAUUGUAGUCUGCAACUCGACUACAUGAAGUUGGAAUCGCUAGUAAUCGCGGAUCAGCAUGUCGCGGUGAAUACGUUCCCGGGUCUUGUACACACCGCCCGUCACACCAUGGGAGCGGGUUUCACCAGAAGUGGGUAGCCUAACCGCAAGGAGGGCGCUCACCACGGUGGGAUUCGUGACUGGGGUGAAGUCGUAACAAGGUA